rnacentral:rRNA from 1 species
GGUCAGUAGGUUGGUCGUGCCACCGGUACGUACUGGUCUCACUAAUUCCUCCUUCCUGAAGAACCGUAAUGCCAUUAAUUUGGUGUUGCGGGGAAACAGGACUGUUACUUUGAAAAAAUUAGAGUGUUUAAAGCAAGCUAACGCUUGAAUGCAUUAGCAUGGAAUAAUGAAAUAGGACGAUCGAUCCUAUUUUGUUGGUUUCUAGGAUUGACGUA